UGUUUAAUGGUGUAACUUGUGGGGUUUACUAGUGCAUGACCUUUCUGCUGUGAGAGAAAGACCCCAGCCACAUAUGCUGCACAUAGUUUGAAGAUUUGGUUGUGUCUUGGCCAGUGCCAAGAAAAAAAGUGCAAUAAAAGGAUUGUGUUUAAAUCUGCAGAAACUGAGAUCCAGCCCAAAGCAAGACAGCGUGAAAAUAAGAAGUAAUUAUUUCAUAGAGAUCAGGUGUGACAUCCUGGUCCUGUUGGCACCAGUGACAAAAGAUCUGUGGCUUCAAAUGAUUCAAAACAUGAAUCCUAGAAUCAUAAAACCAGACUUUCUGGAGCCCAUACUGGACCAAAUGCACUGUGCUUGCUAGAUGCUGAUGGCCCUGUCUCCUGUGAAUUUCUCCAGUCCUUUCUGGAAAUCACUUUAACUUUUGGUGUUAUGUGGCGCUGUCCCACAAUUUAAUCAUGCUGUAAUAAUAGUAAUUGUAGUAAGUGCCUAUAAUUAAUUCUUAUAGUGUAUUGUUAUAUUGUUAUAAUUAUAUACGUAGUUAAUUGUUAUUGCUGAUCAUUACAAUUAAUAUCUGCAAACUAUCAUAGUAAUUUCCUAUUCAUCCUCUGUGUACUAUUAAUGACUCCAGGAUUGGAGUUACAUGUAUUGUUGUAACUACUCAUAUUUCUUCCUUAUAAAACAGUUUUCCAAAACG
rnacentral:lncRNA from 7 species